AGGGUAAUAGCUCAGUGGUAGCGCACGUGCUUAGCAUGCACAAAGUCCUGGGUUCAAUCCCUGGUAACUCCA
rnacentral:tRNA from 1 species